ensembl:lncRNA
GGUAGAUAUGUAUAGGAGACAGGGAUACUGGAGUGAUGGAGGUAGAUAUGUAUAGGAGACAGGGAUACUGGAGUCAUGGAGGUAGAUAUGUAUAGGAGACAGGGAUACUGGAGUGAUGGAGGUAGAUAUGUAUAGGGGAAGGAGACAGGGAUACUGGAGUGAUGGAGGUAGAUAUGUAUAGGGGAAGGAGACAGGGAUACUGGAGUGAUGGAGGUAGAUAUGUAUAGGGGAAGGUGACAGGGAUACUGGAGUGAUGGAGGUAGAUAUGUAUAGGAGACAGGGAUACUGGAGUGAUGGAGGUAGAUAUGUAUAGGAGACAGGGAUACUGGAGUGAUGGAGGUAGAUAUGUAUAGGAGACAGGGAUACUGGAGUGAUGGAGGUAGAUAUGUAUAGGGGGAAGGAGACAGGGAUACUGGAGUGAUGGAGGUAGAUAUGUAUAGGGGUAAGGAGACAGGGAUAAUGGAGUGAUGGAGGUAGAUAUGUAUAGGGGUAAGGAGACAGGGAUACUGGAGUGAUGGAGGUAGAUAUGUAUAGGGGGAAGGAGACAGGGAUACUGGAGUGAUGGAGGUAGAUAUGUAUAGGGGGAAGGGAUACUGGAGUGAUGGAGGUAGAUAUGUAUAGGGGUAAGGAGACAGGGAUACUGGAGUGAUGGAGGUAGAUAUGUAUAGGGGGAAGGGAUACU